GCCACAUAAGACGAGAAGACCCUAUGGAGCUUUAGACACUAAGGCGGACUUAUGUUUAACCUUCUCCAAUAAGAGAAGAAAAACUAAAUAAGUCCCUGCCCUAAUGUCUUUGGUUGGGGCGACCGUGGGGCACACAAAACCCCCAUGUGGAGCAGGAGCACAACUACUCCCACAGCUAAGAGCUACCGCUCUAAUAAACAGAAUUUCUGACCAACAAUGAUCCGACAACGUCGAUCAACGAACCGAGUUACCCUAGGGAUAACAGCGCAAUCUCCUUCUAGAGUCCAUAUCGACAAGGAGGUUUACGACCUCGAUGUUGGAUCAGGACAUCCUAAUGGUGCAGCCGCUAUUAAGGGUUCGUUUGUUCAACGAUUNNNGUCCUACGNGA
rnacentral:rRNA from 1 species